rnacentral:rRNA from 1 species
UACGGGGGAUGCAAGCGUUAUCCGGAAUCAUUGGGCGUAAAGCGCCUGUAGGUUGUUUAAAAAGUCUGUUGUUAAAGCCUAGGGCUCAACCCUAGUUAAGCAAUGGAAACUACUAGACUAGAGUAUGGCAGGGGUAGAGGGAAUUUCUAGUGUAGCGGUGAAAUGCGUAGAUAUUAGAAAGAACACCAGCGGCGAAAGCGCUCUACUGGACCAUUACUGACACUCAGAGGCGAAAGCUAGGGUAGCAAAAGGGAUUAGAUACCCCUGUAGUCCUAGCCGUAAACGAUGGAUACUAGAUGUUGCGUAUAUUAUGCAGUAUCUUAGCUAACGCGUUAAGUAUCCCGCCUGGGGAGUACGCUCGCAAGGGUG